rnacentral:rRNA from 1 species
UGGGGAAUAUUGGGCAAUGGGCGCAAGCCUGACCCAGCAACGCCGCGUGAAGGAAGAAGGCUCUCGGGUUGUAAACUUCUUUUAUCAGGGACGAAGCAAGUGACGGUACCUGAUGAAUAAGCCACGGCUAACUACGUGCCAGCAGCCGCGGUAAUACGUAGGUGGCAAGCGUUAUCCGGAUUUACUGGGUGUAAAGGGCGUGUAGGCGGGAAAGCAAGUCAGAUGUGAAAACCAUGGGCUCAACCUGUGGCCUGCAUUUGAAACUGUUUUUCUUGAGUACUGGAGAGGCAGACGGAAUUCCUA